UACGUAGGGUGCAAGCGUUGUCCGGAAUUAUUGGGCGUAAAGGGCUCGUAGGCGGUCCAUCGCGUCGGGAGUGAAAAGCUGGGGCUUAACCCCAGUCCUGCUUCCGAUACGGGUGGACUAGAGGUAGGUAGGGGAGAACGGAAUUCCGUGGUGUAGCGGUGAAAUGCGCAGAUAUCAGGAGGAACACCGGUGGCGAAGGCGGUUCUCUGGGCCUUACCUGACGCUGAGGAGCGAAAGCAUGGGGAGCGAACAGG
rnacentral:rRNA from 1 species